GACCCAGACCUGUCGACCUGUUCAACUUGGGCCUGCCGCCACCGCCGCCCAUGGGGAACAGCCACUGCGUCCCUCAGGCCCCUAGGAGGCUCCGGGCGUCCUUCUCCAGAAAGCCUUCGCUGAAGGGAAAUAGAGAGGAUGGCGCAAGGAAGCUGGCUGGCCUGUUUGGCUCCGAGGCCGGUCCUGACCUGGACGCCACUGCUGACAAGAUCUUCUACUACAUCCCUGGGACGGACAUCCGGGGCCUGGAGAGCCAGCGAGAAAACCUAGAGCAGCCGUUCCUGAGUGUGUUCAAGAAGGGGCGGCGGAGGGUGCCCGUGAGGAAUCUGGGCAAGGUUGUACACUAUGCCAAGGUCCAGCUACGAUUCCAGCAUAGCCAGGACAUCAGCAACUGCUAUCUGGAGCUGUUCCCCUCCUACCUCUACUUCCAGGCCCAUGGUUCCAAAGGACUCACCUUCCAGGGGCUGUUACCACUGAUGGAGCUGAGUGUCUGCCCGCUUGAGGGGUCCAGAGAGCAUGCCUUCCAGAUCACAGGCCCGCUGCCUGCUCCCCUUCAUGUGCUCUGCCCCAGCCAGGCUGAGCUGGGCCUCUGGCUGUACCACCUGGAAAAGCAGAUAGCCCUCGUGGGAGGGCUGCAGCACUGCCACUCAGCGCCCCCGCAGGGCCCCCCUGAGGACGAGCUGCCCUGGACUCUGCAGCGCAGGCUGACCCGGCUACGGAAGGCAUCAGGGCAUCAAAUGGUGGGCAGCGCCGUCUGUGCCUCGAGGGUCAAGCUGCAGCAUCUGCCCUCACAGGAGCAAUGGGACCGGCUCCUGGUCCUGUACCCAACAUCCCUGGCUAUCUUCUCCGAAGAAGCAGAGGGGCUUUGCUUUAAGGGGGAGCUCCCACUCAGCGCUAUCUGCAUCAACCUGGAGGAGAAGGAGAAGCAGAUCCGUUCUUUCCUGAUCGAAGGCCGCCUCAUCAACACUAUCCGCGUGCUGUGUGCCACCUAUGAGGACUACAGCCACUGGCUCCUGUGUCUGCAGACGAUCUUGCCCAGGGACAGAGCCGCCCCUCUGGCUGGCCCUGAGAGUUUCGCAGGGCCACGCGUGUCCGCACAGGUCAUGGGCGGUCGCCGAGGCUCACUCUCCUCAGAUGGACAAACUAGCCGGGACUCGGGGUGCCCAGCACCCCCCUCCACCCACACCAGCCCCUCUGUCCCUGAGUCCUCGGUGCCAUCCACCACCCGCUGCCCUGCCCAGGCUGUAUCUGACCAGGCCCACCCUGGCUGCACCAGCAUCAGCAGGCAGAGGGCAGAACUGAGAUGGAGCAGCAUCAGCCGGUCACCCAGGAGUAAGGCCCGGGGUGAGGGGCCCAGCCUGGCCACCUCGUUGUACUUGGACCUGACCAAGCUGAGCAGACAGACACUAGAGGACGACCCUGAGGCCCCAGACCACCCUCCGAAGACCCCACACUCCCCACUCUAUGCUGAUCCCUACACACCACCUGCUAUCUCCUACCACAAGAUCACAGACGUCCAGGACCUGGAUGAGUUCCUCAGCGCAAUGCAGAGCUCACUUGGACCUGAAUCCUCGAGCCCAUUCCCCUCGGUCCCUGUGUCUGUGCCUGCCGCUGACCCCAGCUCUGGACUCUCCAGUCCCCACUUGCUCUCCAGGAAGGGAGCCCUGCAGCCCAGAGCCUCUCAGCGGCACCGAGGCUCCAUCAAGGGCCGGGGGCCACCACCCCCAGACUCCCCUCCGCAUGUCUCCCCAGCGAGGAAAGUCUCAACCGACCCCCUGCCACCCCCCUCAGGUGGCCAUCCCCCCAAGAGCUCUGGUAACAUCUGGGACAAAUCUUCAUCUCCCUCCCACAAGCGGCGGCCCCGAGGAGGACCUGAGGCUGGGGGGGGGCUCAUCCAGUGGAUCUGAUGGCCUCUGGGUGACCGGUUCUCAGGACCCCCCGCCAGCAUGGACCCUGGAGUGGAGAUCAGCAGAGGACUUGAGCAGCAGAGCUUGAGGCCAGGCGGGGUCUUCGUGGACCCAGGUCCCGGGCGCCAGCCAGCAUACAACCGCUGGGGUGCCCCCCACCUCCUUGGCUCGGGGGCCAGCACUCCAUCUGCUUCCUGAAAGAAAGGAAACGGGGAAACCUGAAGGAAGCUGAGUGGCUGUCAGAACCGACCCUUCCUCCAAGUUAGAAAACCUGUAACUCCCACUUAUCCUAUUUCCAAACUGUAAUAAACUUGUAAUGAUAAUAAACUUGUAAUGAUACAUUGUUACA